UAUCUCUUUCUCUCUCUCUCUCUUUAUCUGUCGUCGUUCUUUCUCUUUUCUUCCUAUUUACUUUCUAUUCUUUUCUAACGUCAGACCUGAAGAAACGUUAAGGUCAAAAGUUCCUCGAACGAUCACUGAAAAUUCGUACUUAAGAUAAUUGUCUGCUUUGUGUGCAUGCGCGAGAUAUCUUCUCAGGAAUGUCUUCUGAUGCUAAGGAUCAUUUUAUAUGAAACGCAUAAUAGGAUGACGUAGUUGAAGAACUAGAGAUUUCUGUUAAUAUUAUUAUUUUAUUAUUCAUCGAUAAAUCGAUUGCUUUUCUCGAGGAAUGAACCGAUUGCAAAACGGUAAAUGAGGUUUUAUCGCGUUUUAUUACUUCAGCGUAAACUCGAUGACGUUUUUCAAGUCUUUAUGUGCUAAUAUUAUUUUUCGUUAUUUUAGUU
rnacentral:lncRNA from 1 species